GUAUGAAGGCGAUCUGGCUGCAACAUCUGUCACCCCACUGAUUGCCAGAGAUGAGUCUGCUGAUCUGAGUGANUAGAUGGGGGGGUUCCUUCCAUCCUCAUCACUCCUCUCCCAAACCUGUAUUGCCAAUAGAAGGAAUAUGCCAUUCUUCAGUGAAGGGUACAUGAUAGCUACACUCCUCUGCUGGACCCUCAAAUGAGCUCAAGGACCACCACUUUUGAAUAGCCAGGUCACAACUCUUUGGCAUAAUUCAUAUGAUAU
rnacentral:snRNA from 1 species